rnacentral:rRNA from 2 species
GGAUGAAGGCCUUCGGGUUGUAAACCUCUUUCAGCAGGGAAGAAGCGAAAGUGACGGUACCUGCAGAAGAAGCACCGGCUAACUACGUGCCAGCAGCCGCGGUAAUACGUAGGGUGCGAGCGUUGUCCGGAAUUAUUGGGCGUAAAGAGCUUGUAGGCGGUUUGUCGCGUCUGCUGUGAAAAUCCGGGGCUCAACCCCGGACUUGCAGUGGGUACGGGCAGACUAGAGUGUGGUAGGGGAGACUGGAAUUCCUGGUGUAGCGGUGAAAUGCGCAGAUAUCAGGAGGAACACCGAUGGCGAAGGC